rnacentral:rRNA from 1 species
CGUGACCCCAGGUCAGGUGAGGUAGUCGCUGAGUU